GUAGGGGGACCUCGAGGACCACAAAUACUCAGUUCCACUUUGAUUCACCAUGUGGGUGUUGAUAGAGCAGCCAACAGGAUCGGAGAAGGUCACACUCUGCAGAGACACUCCCACAUGCAGCUCUUCAUAUCUCUGUAAGCACAGCGACAGACAUGUAUGACGCUCUCAGUUUUAGAACAUGAACAUCAUCAAACACGGACGCCUCAGCUUUUUAAUAUCACUACUCUGGAUACAAGGUCUAACUGAUGGGAGUGAUGUCACCCAGACGGACAUACUGUGGAAAAACAAGGCCGACAAGGCAACAAUAAGCUGCAGCCACACCAAGGGUGGCACCUAUUACCAGAUGUACUGGUACAGACAGCUGCCAGGAGAAACAAUGAAACAAAUAGUGCUCACUAUUAUAUACAGCAAACCUAACUUUGAACCAGGCUUUAAUGAAGAGAAAUUCUCAACCACCAAGCCUGACGCUGAGAGUGGGACAUUCACAGUGAACAAUCUGGAGCCUGAAGAUAAAGGCUUGUAUUUCUGUGCUGUGAGUGAACACAGUGAUACAGAUGCAUUCAACAGCUGAACAAAAACCCCAGUGCAGAGUUGGCUCUAUUAGUGAGUCUUUCUAUCUGCUGUACUGUAGAGGGACCUCAAGUACAAUCACAGAACAUUGCAUCAUACAAUAUC